CCUCGUACUCAUAAGUUGUUUUCAAUGAUAGAGCUUCCGAAUCGAUGAUCCACUCCGUUAAAUAUGAUAUAUCUAGAGUAUUUGAAACUUCGAGAAAAUAAAUUUCGUAAAUUUUCAAAAUCAUAAUAAAGUCCAUUAAGUGGGCAUAAAAUGAACGGUCAAAAUCGAAUGACGUCCUAAAAAAGGAUAAUCGGAUCCUUCAAUUCAAGAUCGGAGUUGUUGAUCUUUAUCUAUGUAGUGAAUAGAAUUUUCUAUCAAAAAUUCAACAAAUUUCGAUUUUUUUACACUGUUAAACUAGCAAGUAUUUCAUGCCGGCCGUUAAAAAUUGUCAAAUUUGUGAUAUCUUGAUCGUAAGGUAAAUGAUGUCGCAAAACUAUAAAAUUUGAUUUCUAGAAGUUUUAAAUAUUAUAAAUAACGUUUAACGAUGUGGAUCGUCGAUUCGGAAGCUCUAUCAUCGAAAACAACUUAUGAGUACGAGGGCGAUUGUACUCAUAAUAGUAUAGUAGCCGGACCCUAUAUAUAUAUAUAUAUAUAUACCAAUUAUUUUAUACUUCUGAUAACAUAGUAGCUCAUAUAAUAUCAAAAAGCUAGUUAAAAUUUGCUUUCC
rnacentral:lncRNA from 1 species